rnacentral:lncRNA from 1 species
CUUUAUCUUUCUGAUUUCUAAGCUAAUAUAUAUAUAUAUAUAUAUAUAUAUAUAUAUAUAUAUAUAUAUAUAUAUAUAUAUAUAUAUAUAUAUAUAUAUAUAUAUAUAUAUAUAUAUGACAAUUUGCUUCACCCUCGAGACUUUUCGAGGGCCGCUUGACAAGUUUCUAUUUUUGCUUUACUUAUAAUAGAAAAGCUUCUUGAGGAAGUAAGUUAACUUUCUUUAAAAAUCUCUUUUAGCUAAAUCAAGAGCCUGUUUGGGCCAAAUUUUUUCACCAAAAAAAUUGAUUUUUGGACCGUUAUUUCACUAUUUCAGUCGUUAUAUUUGACUUCUUCUCUCACAAGUGGACCCUACUUUUCUCCUAACGGUCAAAAAAUCAAUUCUCAAAAUCACUCCUCAGGCUCCCAAGUCUUUGUUCAAUAGCAAUUUCUUAGCCCAAGAAAAAAAUUUUAACUUUUCAAAGCUUUGCCAAAUGGACCUAUACUAUAUUGUCAAUGGUUAUCUCGUUAUUGAACUUUGAUUUUUUUAUUGAUUCUCUUUCAAAUAUAGAUUUUAACAUCUAUUCUAUCCAAAAGUGUUCAUAAUAUAUAAGUUGUUAAAACUGUUCAAUAAUGGUAAAAUUCC